CAGGCUUUUCUGAAUUAUAGCAAUGUACUUUGCUUAAGCUAUCCCUGUCCAGCGUUUCAGUUUUUGUUUUUCUCACAUGUUGUAUUUUAUUGUCACUGUAUUUGUAAAAGUUGGCAUAUAAAUUUUCCGAUUGAGCACGAUGGUGAACGGACGCAUGUAACCUCCUGUUUUGCAUGAAAGCUAUUAAUGCAAUUAAUUGCGCUGUUUAAUUAUUAUUCUGCCGUGUAGGGGUGGUUUUUAAGUAGUUGUUACCGUUUGUACAAUACUGGUACAUUUUAUCUGGAUUUUAUUACGUUUUUACCACACAUUUGCUUAAAAAAAUCCAAGCCAAAGACGACUAAAGGAAAGAAGGUACAGUCAGCUGACAGCCCUGAUAGCCUCAAGUCACAUAGCGGGAAUUCCAAAUCGGUCGAAGUGAAUGCUGGCUUGGCUGACGCAGACAUAAUACGUACACAAAUACAAGCAUACUUUGAAGAAAAUUCUGAUUUGCUGUCUAGUAUUGCUACUAAGGUAACAUCUAUGAUAAAAACACAACUUUCUGCUGAUCUUACUGAACUAGUAACUGAAGCUACGAUCGACAGUUUCAACUUUAAAUUUAACGAUCAAAAUGAUCGCAUAUGGUGUUCCCGAACAAUCUGAUUGGUACACGGAUCAUAAGAGUCUUUUUCAUGGAAUGGUUUGGCAAGCGGGCGACUAUCUUGUACGCUUUCAUCUAGGGAAAAAAUAUCCACACAUUAAAACACAUUUAUUUGAGUUGUGAAGACAUAUUGAGAUAAAGUAAACUGUAAUACAUGUGGCACCGCAAGAGGACUUGAUGUUCUUGAUUUUAAUCUUGGUAUUAACAUCGGUCUCGACAGUAUGGAUAAAUUCUUUAGAUGAGUGCUUGUGUACAUUUAAUGACUCUCAAAGCAGGAAACCGACUCCAAUUAUGAAAGCUGAAUUACAUAAACGAUGAAAAAAAAACACCAAAAUCAAUAUUUAAGAAAAUAACAGAGAGCAUGCGCAUUAAUUGUUCACAGCAUUUUGAUCGGUGCUCAAUAUUGCUCAAGGACCAAGGACCAACCAUCCAGUAGCCCAAUACUUGUUAACUGAUCAACAAAAAAAUUCUAAGUACCAAUGUCGUAUUUAAAAGCUUCUUCGAUAUUUUACAAUAUCAUUAUGAAGCAAAAUUCAUCUCACUCUUAACACUUUAAGGCUAAUAAAACUGUUCUUGUU